CAACAUAGUGAGAAAAGGAGAGAAAUGGAAAGACAUUUAAAUUUAGUGUGAUUAAGAGGAGACAGAGUAGAGGAAAAUAAGUGGUCAUGACCCUUCAUAAACAGCUUUUGCAGAAAACAGAAAACAGCAAGUUACUAAGAAACAGACUUUCUACACUAUCAGUCUUAUUAUUACAACUGCUCAACCUUCUCAGGAAGAGGAUUCGUUAGAUGUCUUAUGCUGGUAAAGCCCUGAAAGAAAAAGAGAAGAAUCUGAAAUGUCCUUUGAAAAUAAAUUUUCAGACUUAACCAUCAAAUAGUAUGGACAUGAUCCUCAUUCACAAAAGAUGGCUUGUAACAACAACCCGGGAAACAGGAAAGAACAAAUGGCGAAUACAGUGCAACUGGCUUUGGGCUCAGAAAUAGUUUGAUGAAAAGGGAAAGAACACAAGUCUACUUACUUGUCAUUUCAAAGCCCAGUUCUCAGAAGUCAUAAGGGACUGUAAUACUGAGGUAAACCUGCAGUUCCAUUUCAGUAACGAAAAGACAAUAAAUUAAUUUAAAAAAAAUAAUGCAUGCAAUAACUGAGGCUUC